rnacentral:rRNA from 1 species
CAGUAGCCGCGGUAAGACAGAGGAUGCAAGCGUUAUCCGGAAUGAUUGGGCGUAAAGUGUCUGUAGGUGGCUUUUCAAGUCCGCCGUCAAAUCCCAGGGCUCAACCCUGGACAGGUGGUGGAAACUACCAAGCUGGAGUAUGGUAGGGGCAGAGGGAAUUUCCGGUGGAGCGGUGAAAUGCAUUGAGAUCGGAAAGAACACCAACGGCGAAAGCACUCUGCUGGGCCGACAUUGACACUGAGAGACGAAAGGUAGGGGAGCAAAUGGGAUUAGAGACCCCCGUAGUCCCUGUCUCUUAUAC